UUUCCGUAGGUGAACCUGCGGAAGGAUCAUUAACGAAUAACUAUGGUGUCUUGGUUGUAGCUGGCUCCUCGGAGCAAUGUGCACGCCCGCCAUUUUCAUCUUUCCACCUGUGCACCGACUGUAGGUCUGGAUGACUCUCGCACUCCGGUGCGGAUGCGAGGAUUGCUCUCGGGCUCUCCUCGAAUUUCCAGGCUCUACGUCUUUUUACACACCCCAAACGUAUGAUACAGAAUGUAGUCAAUGGGCUUGAUCGCCUAUAAAACACUAUACAACUUUCAGCAACGGAUCUCUUGGCUCUC
rnacentral:misc_RNA from 1 species